rnacentral:rRNA from 1 species
GGUAACGCAGCUAACGCGUGAAGUAGACCGCCUGGGGAGUACGGUCGCAAGAUUAAAACUCAAAGGAAUUGACGGGGACCCGCACAAGCGGUGGAUGAUGUGGAUUAAUUCGAUGCAACGCGAAAAACCUUACCUACCCUUGACAUGUACGGAAUUCUGCUGAGAGGUGGAAGUGCUCGAAAGAGAACCGUAACACAGGUGCUGCAUGGCUGUCGUCAGCUCGUGUCGUGAGAUGUUGGGUUAAGUCCCGCAACGAGCGCAACCCUUGUCAUUAGUUGCUACGAAAGGGCACUCUAAUGGGACUGCCGGUGACAAACCGGAGGAAGGUGGGGAUGACGUCAAGUCCUCGUGGCCCUUAUGGGUAGGGCUUCACACGUCAUACAAUGGUACAUACAGAGGGCUGCCAACCCGCGAGGGGGAGCUAAUCCCAGAAAGUGUAUCGUAGUCCGGAUUGUAGUCUGCAACUCGACUACAUGAAGUUGGAAUCGCUAGUAAUCGCGGAUCAGCAUGUCGCGGUGAAUACGUUCCCGGGUCUUGUACACACCGCCCGUCACACCAUGGGAGCGGGUUUUACCAGAAGUAGGUAGCUUAACCGCAAGGAGGGCGCUUACCACGGUAGGAUUCGUGACUGGGGUGAAGUCGUAACAAGGUAGCCGUGUCGGAAGGUGCGGCUGGAUCACCUCCUU